rnacentral:rRNA from 1 species
CCCUUAGAUGUUCUGGGCCGCACGCGCGCUACACUGAUGAAUUCAACGAGCUCCUAACCUAGGCCGAAGGGUCCGGGUAAUCUUUGAAAUUUCAUCGUGAUGGGGAUAGAUUAUUGCAAUUAUUAAUCUUCAACGAGGAAUUCCUAGUAAGCGCGAGUCAUCAGCUCGCGUUGAUUACGUCCCUGCCCUUUGUACACACCGCCCGUCGCUCCUACCGAUUGAAUGGUCCGGCGAAAUGUUCGGACCGCGACAAGGCGGACGGUUCGCUGUCAGCUUUGCUGCGGGAAGUUCAUUAAACCUUAUCAUUUAGAGGAAGGAGAAGUCGUAACA